rnacentral:rRNA from 1 species
GGCGGCUGUCUGGUCUGUAACUGACGCUGAGCUCGAAAGUAUGGGUAGCAAACAGGAUUAGAUACCUGGUAGCCCAUACCGUAAACGAUGAAUGCUAAGUGUUGGAGGGUUUCCCCCUUCAGUGCUGCAGCUAACGCAUUAAGCAUUCCGCUGGGGAGUACGGCCGCAAGGCUGAAACUCAAAGGAAUUGACGGGGGCCCGCACAAGCGGUGGAGCAUGUGGUUUAAUUCGAAGCUACGCGAAGAACCUUACCAGGUCUUGACAUACUAUGCAAAUCUAAGAGAUUAGACGUUCCCUUCGGGGACAUGGAUACAGGUGGUGCAUGGUUGUCGUCAGCUCGUGUCGUGAGAUGUUGGGUUAAGUCCCGCAACGAGCGCAACCCUUAUUAUCAGUUGCCAGCAUUAAGUUGGGCACUCUGGUGAGACUGCCGGUGACAAACCGGAGGAAGGUGGGGAUGACGUCAAAUCAUCAUGCCCCUUAUGACCUGGGCUACACACGUGCUACAAUGGAUGGUACAACGAGUUGCGAACUCGCGAGAGUAAGCUAAUCUCUUAAAGCCAUUCUCAGUUCGGAUUGUAGGCUGCAACUCGCCUACAUGAAGUCGGAAUCGCUAGUAAUCGCGGAUCAGCAUGCCGCGGUGAAUACGUUCCCGGGCCUUGUACACACCGCCCGUCACACCAUGAGAGUUUGUAACACCCAAAGUCGGUGGGGUAACCUUUAGGAACCAGCCGCCUAAGGUGGGACAGAUGAUUAGGGUGAAGUCGUAACAAGGUAACCA